GCUUCAUCUUCCUCUCCUCCUCCAGCUGCCACGGAGGAAACAGCGGCCCGAGAUGGGAGGCGGAAAGAAAACUCAGGUCUAAGUGUGGUUUCAGAUUCAAGCCUGUCUCAUCUCCGUCUCUGAGGGACGCAAAGACGUCUGUCCAUCCCGUCUGCCCGAGCGUCUCCUCUCCAUUCACAAAAAACACAGCCGAGCAUCCAACUACGAGCCCCAAACAACGGCACACGCGGACAGACGGAGAGCAGCAUCCAGACGAAGACGAGACACAUUCAAACCUCGACUGAUAUUCUCUUGUCUGUUUGGUGACCUUGUGAUGUCUCAAUUCAGGUAUGGUCAGAUGUUUCUUUCUAUCUUUUUUCUUUCUUUCUAGUUUACCAUGUCAAGCAUC